rnacentral:rRNA from 1 species
UGAGCUCGAUGAGUAGGGCGGGACACGUGGUAUCCUGUCUGAAUAUGGGGGGACCAUCCUCCAAGGCUAAAUACUCCUGACUGACCGAUAGUGAACCAGUACCGUGAGGGAAAGGCGAAAAGAACCCCGGCGAGGGGAGUGAAAAAGAACCUGAAACCGUGUACGUACAAGCAGUGGGAGCCUCUUAAUGGGGUGACUGCGUACCUUUUGUAUAAUGGGUCAGCGACUUAUAUUCUGUAGCAAGGUUAACCGAAUAGGGGAGCCGAAGGGAAACCGAGUCUUAACUGGGCGUUAAGUUGCAGGGUAUAGACCCGAAACCCGGUGAUCUAGCCAUGGGCAGGUUGAAGGUUGGGUAACACUAACUGGAGGACCGAACCGACUAAUGUUGAAAAAUUAGCGGAUGACUUGUGGCUGGGGGUGAAAGGCCAAUCAAACCGGGAGAUAGCUGGUUCUCCCCGAAAGCUAUUUAGGUAGCGCCUCGUGAAUUCAUCUCCGGGGGUAGAGCACUGUUUCGGCAAGGGGGUCAUCCCGACUUACCAACCCGAUGCAAACUGCGAAUACCGGAGAAUGUUAUCACGGGAGACACACGGCGGGUGCUAACGUCCGUCGUGAAGAGGGAAACAACCCAGACCGCCAGCUAAGGUCCCAAAGUCAUGGUUAAGUGGGAAACGAUGUGGGAAGGCCCAGACAGCCAGGAUGUUGGCUUAGAAGCAGCCAUCAUUUAAAGAAAGCGUAAUAGCUCACUGGUCGAGUCGGCCUGCGCGGAAGAUGUAACGGGGCUAAACCAUGCACCGAAGCUGCGGCAGCGACACUAAGUGUUGUUGGGUAGGGGAGCGUUCUGUAAGCCUGUGAAGGUGUACUGUGAGG